AUGCUCCAAAGGAUUCACAAGGUGGUACGAUCACGAGUCAUUUUGGUUAUGAGAAGGCAUACUCAGAUGCUCAACUCCAUCAUCCUUGAGGAACUCCUAAAGGUGACCUCCUUCCCUUUGAGCCAUCAUCAAGUACGCAUAUUGGAUGGGUCACUAUUUCAUUGUUGUUUCCUUCUUGUUGUCUACAUGAUACAUCUCGCGAAAGGAGGAGCGACAUUGGAGAUUGGCUCUAUGGACCUUCACAUUGAGGAGCGCUCGCACUUAUUGGAUGCACCUUCAGAACUACACUCAUGCCACGACAUCGUGCAUUGGUACACCAACACCUCCAUAUUUGUUGAUUGUGCUCACACUUGUUAUGCUCGAUGGACAUAUCAUACUCACCACAAGUUUGCACCCUAUGCGUGGAUUGACUCACAUUAUGAUUGUCUUUUUGCAUCUUGUAUUCCAAUGUCGUCCAUGAUAUAUGAGCUUGUGCAUUUCCUUAGCAAUUUUUUUGUGAUCUACCUUGAUGGCAUAUUCAUAUAUCAUGAUCAUAUUGUUCACCAUCAAUUGCAUGAUAACAUAAUCAUAUUGAGCAUCCAUUUCCAUAUUCAUGCUAUUGAUAAACCGUCUCACUAUGACAUCAUUUUGCACCUGUGGUUGCAUUGA
rnacentral:rRNA from 1 species